UACGUAGGGAGCAAGCGUUGUCCGGGAUCAUUGGGCGUAAAGCGCGCGUAGGUGGCUUCGUAAGUCCGUUGUGAAAGUCAAAGGCUCAACCUUUGAAAGCCGAUGGAUACUGCGGAGCUAGAGUACGGAAGAGGCGAGUGGAAUUCCUGGUGUAGCGGUGGAAUGCGCAGAUAUCAGGAGGAACACCAAUAGCGAAGGCAGCUCGCUGGGACGUUACUGACACUGAGGCGCGAAAGCGUGGGGAGCGAACAGG
rnacentral:rRNA from 1 species